AUUGAACGCUGGCGGCAGGCCUAACACAUGCAAGUCGAACGAGUGGCGGACGGGUGAGUAAUGCCUGGGAAACUGCCCGAUGGAGGGGGAUAACUAUUGGAAACGGUAGCUAAUACCGCAUAUCAUCGGAUGUGCCCAGAUCGGAUUGGCUAGUAGGCGGGGUAAAGGCCCACCUAGGCGACGAUCCCUAGCUGGUCUGAGAGGAUGACCGGCCACACUGGAACUGAGACACGGUCCAGACUCCUACGGGAGGCAGCAGUGGGGAAUAUUGCACAAUGGGCGCAAGCCUGAUGCAGCCAUGCCGCGUGUAUGAAGAAGGCCUUCGGGUUGUAAAGUACUUUCGGCGGGGAAGCGUUACCCGAAGAAGAAGCACCGGCUAACUCCGUGCCAGCAGCCGCGGUAAUAC
rnacentral:rRNA from 1 species